AACGAACGCUGGCGGCGCGCCUAAUACAUGCAAGUCGAGCGAGAAGACGUAGCAAUACGUUUGUAAAGCGGCGAACGGGUGAGGAAUACAUGGGUAACCUACCCUCGAGUGGGGAAUAACUAGCCGAAAGGUUAGCCAAUACCGCGUACGCUCCUUGGACUUCGGUUCAGGGAGGAAAGCGAUACCGUGGGUAUCGCGCUCUUGGAUGGGCUCAUGUCCUAUCAGCUUGUUGGUGAGGAACGGCUCACCAAGGCUUCGACGGGUAGCUGGUCUGAGAGGACAAUCAGCCACACUGGCACUGCGACACGGGCCAGACUCCUACGGGAGGCAGCAGUAAGGAAUAUUGCGCAAUGGGCGAAAGCCUGACGCAGCGACGCCGCGUGGGGGAU
rnacentral:rRNA from 1 species